rfam:Paracoccidioides brasiliensis Pb18 unplaced genomic scaffold supercont2.8, whole genome shotgun sequence.
GCCUUCGGGCAUUUGGUCAAUUUUGAAACGAUACAGAGAAGAUUAGCAUGGCCCCUGCACUAAGGAUGACACGCUCAAUCAAAGAGAAGCUACAGGUUUUU